rnacentral:rRNA from 1 species
CCCGCACAAGCAGCGGAGCGUGUGGUUUAAUUCGAUGCUACACGAAGAACCUUACCCGGGUUUGACAUACAGGUGGUAGGAAUCCGAAAGGUGACCGACCCGCAAGGGAGCCUGAACAGGUGUUGCAUGGCUGUCGUCAGCUCGUGUCGUGAGAUGUUCGGUUAAGUCCGCUAACGAGCGCAACCCUCGCCGCGUGUUACAAGUGUCACGCGGGACCGCCGGUAUCAAGCCGGAGGAAGGUGGGAUGACGUCAAGUCAGCAUGGCCUUUAUAUCCGGGGCUACACACACGCUACAAUGGCCGGUACAAUGGGUUGCUAAGCCGCGAGGCGGAGCCAAUCCCCCAAAGCCGGUCUCAGUUCAGAUUGCAGGCUGCAACUCGCCUGCAUGAAGCUGGAGUUGCUAGUAAACGCGCGUCAGCUAUAGUGCGUUGAAUACGUUCUCGGGCCUU